UUUAUUUCAUUAUUUAAUAUAAAUAAUUUUAUUGUAUUUUUGUCUUAGUAUAUUUUAUAGAAUUGAUUUUUUAAAUUAUAGUUUAUUGGUAAUGUAAGUGUUUUAUGAAAUAUUAUUUUAAAUUUUUUUAAGUAGAUUUUAUUUAUUGUACCUUUUGUAUCAGGGUUUAUCAAAAUUUUAGUAUUUAUUUUACUUGUCUCGAUUUGGGUUGAUUUAUAAAUAAUUUAUAGUUAAUGUAUCAUAAUUAUUAUUAAAUUAUUUAUAGAAAUGAGAUGUUAAUCGUUUCCCAAUAUAUCUAGUUUCUUAACAAAAAAUUUAAUUUUUUAAAGUUAUUUGUUUUUAUUUAAUUUUUUAAGUAAAAAUAUUAACUUAUUUAUUCUUUAAGAGAUAAGCUUUGAAGUUAAUAACCUAUAAUUUAUUUUAUAGAAAUAUAAUAGUAAGCUUUAAACCAGCUAUCUUUAAGAUUACGUUUUAGUUCAUUAUUUUUUAUUUUGAUUUUAUAAAUACUUUAGGUUUUUUAUUAAGAUUAUUAAUUUAAUUUUAAAUUUUUUGUAAUAAUGAUAGAAUUAGUAUAUUUAUUUGUAUGAAAUUUUUACCUUGUGAACUUAUUAUAAGGAACUAGGCAAAAUAGAUUUCCGCCUGUUUAUCAAAAACAUGUCCUCUUGUUUAUAUUUUGAGGUCUGGCCUGCUCACUGAGCGUAUUUUUAAAGAGCCGCGGUAUUUUGACCGUGCAAAGGUAGCAUAAUCAUUAGUCUCUUAAUUAGUGGCUGGAAUGAAU